CCCGAGGUUGUCGAAGCUUCAAGGCUGGUGAAAUAUCACCAUAAACCACCAUCGGCGUCGAUUUUAGCUUAUGGAAUCUCUCGAAUUCCUUAUCUGAAGGCGAAGAUGAUAUGUUUGGACAACAACUAAUGGAUGAACUUUGGAGAGAUACGAGCUGAGUAAUGCAUUCCAUUAACGAUAUUAAACAUGGGGAGUUUUGAGAGAAGAAGUCUUUCGAGGGAUGCAGGGCAAUCUGCGACAGCUCAUCAUGGAGGGAGGCGAGGCUUUUCCAGAAGUUGGAUUGCUCCGACGAGAACAACCAGUCGCAGUGACGGACGUGCAGUUCUGCCUAGCUCCAUGAUAUGCCCUCUCCUCGAACCAGCCUCUGAUGGAUUCCUUUGAUAGACGCCUCGAGGACACCGUUUUCCCAAGGAAUGGCUUGUCUCACCAACUCUACUACUUCACCUCCUCGGCUGCUCCUCCAUCCUCGUCAAAAAAAUAAAUACCGCUGGGAUCAAUUGAGAAAUUGGAUAAUUUAAAAUUUUAGUGCAUGCAAAAUUUGCCUACAUAAAUCAAUCAUCAUUGUGUUUGAAUCUAACUAAUAUCAAUUCCAUCAAAAAACACUUGAGCUUCUAAGUUAUAAGUCAAACCUAGUCAAUAUAACUCAAUUCUUCUGAUUAGAACAUAGAAGUCAAACACAAACUUGAGUCAAAGGGUUAAUCUUUUAAAUUAUGGGUCAAGGCUAUUAUAUGUAAUCCGAUUAUUUCAAUCAUUGUCGAUACGAAAAUAUAAUCUCUUACACAUGAAUAUUUCCAGCAAAGACAUUAUGAAGAUAGGAACAUUUUUACCUGACAAUUAAUUGCUCAAAUUUUUUUAUAUUUUGAUACUGUUAUCAUAUUUCUUAAUUUUGCAUGAAAUUACAAGUUAUAUCAUUAUGUAAAUUUAAAUGCACCACAACGAGAUCAAUUUUGAAGAUAUCAUCUCUUUUCUUCAACUUCUGAAGCUCUCUCUCUCUCUCUCUCUCUCUCUCUCUCCAGAUUGUGUAUAUCACACAGAGUCAACCUUCCAUAAUUGCUUGACAAGCAACCACCUGGUGUCCCAACUGCUUGUUUUGUGUGUGUUCAAUGGCAAGAGACACUCCAAUAUGCCUACAUUUCGAUCCCGUGGGUUUGAGUUGCAGAGACCCAUCCAGCAUUAUGCUCUUUGGGACUGUUGAGGAUUAAAUAGUUAGACAUUGGGCUUCUUAACCCACACUUGAUCUGCAUUGGAAAUGGUAGCCAACUUGAUGAAUUCAUGUGGUGGAUGCACAGAAUCUGUUCGAUGAAAUGCCUUUUAGGAUACAAAGUUGACGGAUACAUUGAAACUGGAAUCUGAAGAUCAUAGCUGUUAAAUUUGUUUCGCAGAGCUCAACUCCAGAAGAAGAACAAAAGCAUUUGCCAGAAUAACAUCUAUAAUAAUGAAUUUGUCACCAGGAGAGUAUUCAAGAGAAAGUUUUGCCCAGUUUCAUUGGUUAAGAUGAAGGAUGUCCUUUGAAGCACUUCAGAUUCAAUGAAAGAAAUUCGAGGUCAUUGAGAACUCACAAAGAAAGCAACAGUAACAGGAGGCUGAAAUCUAUUCAUAAAUUUCAAUGGUGAAGCAAGCUCUUCUGUUGAUCAUUGGUUAAGAUGGAAGACAUGCAUAGUUAAAGCUGUAAAAGUAGAGGUUAUUGGUCAUUGGUGAAGUGAGCAGAAGAUUUACCUCCGCUCGACACGGUUCUAAUUCAUUCUUCUGUGCCUCCCUGCAUCCCGACAACAGCACCAGAAAUAAUCCAGUUUGGAAGCACUGGAGGUCUCCCUAUGGUUUCUGUAUAGGUUUCAAUUAGUUCAACAGAAAUACAAGUUACAACAUGAAGAAGAAAAGAUUAAGAGUUGAAGCGACUCAAAACUGUGCAGUCGAAGACAACAGCGUCACAAGACAUGAGGUUGUCGAUUGUCUUAGUAUAAGACUGGUGCUUGCAGAUGAAAAGAACAUCACCAUCCUUAAUAGCGAAAGAGCCUCUGCUCUCCUCCACCUGAGUCUGGACAGCUGCAGCAGAUAUGAAGGCCUCUCCUGGGAUCGUAGACCAUAUGCUCCUGUUAGGCUGAGAUCGGUGCGAGAUCGAAAGGCAGCCACCAUUUCUGCAGCUCCAAGCAAGCUGGAAAUCCUCCCCAAUCUGAUAACUCUGGUCUUGUGAAAUCUUGUGUGGACUGAAGGAGAGUCCUCCAUGGAUGAAAGGCAGGCACUUUAGGGUGGAAGGAAAGGGAUUGUUGAUGUGCUUGUGGUGCUUCUUGGAGAUCCUCAACUCUGGCAUGGUUGGCUAAUUGGGAAGUGAUGCCCUCCUCCUGUAGGUUGAAAGAUUCAGAGAUCCAACUGCCUCUAUAUAUACAAAUAGCAAAUUAAUCCUGAAUAUUCUGGUGGAGCCCAGAUCAUCACUAUCUUGAGCAAAUUCACCAUAGAGACCUUUUCUUGUGUCAGAUGCAUUUACAGUUGUCCUAUUUCUUCUUUUCCUUAAUUGUAUUUCUUUUAUAUAAAGCAUCUAUUAUCAUUAUGUAUUUGACAAAUUCCCAACUAUUUUCAUGUUCUUUGUCAUGUAGAAAAGUGUUGUAUUUUGUUCA